rnacentral:lncRNA from 1 species
AGCACCACACGUUCGUUCAAUCUUGUAACACAGUACUUUUAUUAAAUUAAAUAAGUAGUUAACAAAAAUAUCGCUGAUUAUCCUACCUUUUGGACCUAAUCAAUCGCCAAAUCUCUAAUAUAUAAAGUUAGAACUAUUUAAUCAACAUUUUCCUUUAGAACAAUAUAUACAUAACAAAAUAUAGUCAUCCUUGCACUUUACACCAUGAUAU